GACAGAGGGUGCAAACGUUGUUCGGAAUUACUGGGCGUAAAGCGCGUGUAGGCGGCUAUGCAAGUCGGAUGUGAAAGCCCUCGGCUCAACCGGGGAAGUGCACCCGAAACUGCAAAGCUAGAGUCUCGGAGAGGAUCGUGGAAUUCUCGGUGUAGAGGUGAAAUUCGUAGAUAUCGAGAGGAACACCGGUGGCGAAGGCGGGUCUCCUGGGCAGUAACUGACGCUGAGGAGCGAAAGCGUGGGGAGCGAACAGG
rnacentral:rRNA from 1 species